GACGAACGCUGGCGGCGUGCCUAAUACAUGCAAGUCGAACGGAGUGGCGCACGGGUGAGUAAUAUAUAGCUAAUCUGCCCCUUGCUGGAGGACAACAGUUAGAAAUGACUGCUAAUACUCCAUAGCAAGGGAUGAGACUAUAUCGUAUCAGCUAGUCGGUGGGGUAACGGCCUACCGAGGCUAUGACCCGUAACAGUUCUGAGAGGAUGAUCAGUCACAUGGGAAGUGAGACACGGUCCAAACUCCUACGGGAGUCAGCAGUAGGGCAUAUUGCGCAUGGGGCGAAAAUCUAACGAAGCAACGCCGUGUGGAGGAUUACACUUUUCGGAGCGGAAACUCUUUUUGUUAGGGAAGCGGUACCUAACGAAUAAGCACCGGCUAACUCCGUGCCAGCAGCCGCGGUAAUAC
rnacentral:rRNA from 1 species